rnacentral:tRNA from 1 species
AAGGCUUUAAGUUCAAGAAAACUAAUAACCUUCAAAGCUAUAAAUAAAGAAAAUAAAUCUUUAAGCCUUA